ACCAUUUUGUGUUACUAGUAGUACUAGUAGACUUAAAAAUGUUAGUAGUAAAAACUCAAAUUUUACUAGUACUACUAGUAGCACAAAAUGGUC